AAAUCUUGUGCCAGCAGUCGCGGUAAGACAAGGGAGACAAGUGUUAUUCAUCUUAACAGGUAUAUAGGGUACCUAGACGGUGUAAAAUGGCUUGGAUAAAGUACCUAUUACACUUGAGUUUGAUAUGGGAGAGGAAUAUGUCGGAAUUGUUGGUGUAAAGAUGAAAUUUGCUAAUACCAAUAGGACCGGUAACGGCGAAGGCAAACCUCUAUGUACAUAUACUUGCUUAUUCUAUAGAAGAAUUGAUUUGAAAUUAUAAUUGGAUUCUAAAGAAUUACUCUUUCUUACUAGAUUGAAAAUGAAAGUGAAGAAAACGCUUAAAUGCAUAAAGAAAAAAGGCAAGCUAUUAUAACUGACGUUGAGGGACGAAGGCUCAGAGAGUGAAGAGGAUUAGAUACCCCCGUAGCCUGGGCAGACAAUGAUGAGUGCCAUAGGUUGGCUUUACGCGGAACUAUAAAUGAAAGUGCAAGCACUCCACCUCAAGAGUAAUGUGGCAACGCAGGAACUGAAAUCAUUAGACCGUUUCUGAAACCAGUCGUGAAGUAUGUUAUUUAAUUCGAUGAUCCUCGAAUAACCUUACCACAAUUUGAAUGACCUAAAAUAUUUUUUUAGACCACAUGCGUUGCAUGGCUGUCUUCAGUUAAUGUCGUGAGAUUUGGUUAGGUCCAUUAAAUUAACGUAAACCCUUGUUUUAUUUAUUACUAUAAAGCAGCUCUCCGCUUACAAUUGGAUGUGAUAAUAGGGACUAAGACAAGUCAUCAUGGCCUUAAUUUUGGCUAUAGACGUGCCACAUGUGCCUUACAAAGGGAGCAA
rnacentral:rRNA from 1 species